GACGAACGCUGGCGGCGUGCUUAACACAUGCAAGUCGAACGGAAAGGCCCUGCUUGCCGGGUACUCGAGUGGCGAACGGGUGAGUAACACGUGGGUGAUCUGCCCUGCACUUCGGGAUAAGCCUGGGAAACUGGGUCUAAUACCGGCUAGGAGCCAUUUCUAGUGUGAUGGUUGGAAAGUUUUUUCGGUGUAGGAUGAGCUCGCGGCCUAUCAGCUUGUUGGUGGGGUAAUGGCCUACCAAGGCGGCGACGGGUAGCCGGCCUGAGAGGGUGGACGGCCACACUGGGACUGAGAGACGGCCCAGACUCCUACGGGAGGCAGCAGUGGGGAAGAUUGCACAAUGGGCGCAAGCCUGAUGCAGCGACGCCGCGUGGGGGAUGACGGCCUUCGGGUUGUAAACUCCUUUCGCUAGGGACGAAGCUUUUUGUGACGGUACCUAGAUAAGAAGCACCGGCUAACUACGUG
rnacentral:rRNA from 1 species